CAAGCGUGAGGUAAGGGCAAUUCGUGGAUGCCUUGGCGCAUACAGGCGAUGAAGGACGUGGCACGCUGCGAUAAGCUGCGGUGAGGUGUGAGCAACCUUUGACCCGCAGAUUUCCGAAUGGGGAAACCCACUCAUCCUGAUUAUCUGAACGGUUCAGGCAACUGGGCGGUCAGGUAAUUGGGGUUUUGAGUAUCUUGGACCUGAAUACAUAGGGUUCAAGAAGCGAACCCGGCGAACUGAAACAUCUCAGUAGCUGGAGGAAAAGACAUCAACCGAGAUUCCGUUAGUAGUGGCGAGCGAACGCGGACCAGGCCAGUGCCUUCAAUUCAAGUAGCAGAACACUCUGGAAAGUGUGGCCAUAGCGGGUGACAGCCCCGUAUGCGAAACUGAUGUUGAAGGACUCGAGUAGGGCGGAACACGUGUAAUUCUGUCUGAACAUGGGGGGACCACCCUCCAAGCCUAAAUACUCGUAUGCGACCGAUAGUGAACUAGUACCGUGAGGGAAAGGUGAAAAGCACCCCGAUGAGGGGAGUGAAACAGUACCUGAAACGGAUUGCCUACAAGCAGUAGGAGGGUCUUUAUGGCCUGACUGCGUACCUCUUGCAUAAUGGGUCUGUGACUUAAUGUAUCGAGCAAGCUUAAGCCGUUAGGUGUAGGCGCAGCGAAAGCGAGUCUGAAUAGGGCGCACAUAGUUCGAUGUAUUAGACCCGAAACCCGGCGAUCUAGGCAUGACCAGGAUGAAGGUGUGGUAACACACACUGGAGGUCCGAACCGAUUAACGUUGAAAAGUUACCGGAUGAGUUGUGUUUAGGGGUGAAAGGCCAAUCAAGCCGGGAAAUAGCUGGUUCUCCGCGAAAACUAUUGAGGUAGUGCCUCGAGCGGACACCAUAGGGGGUAGAGCACUGGAUGGGUGCGGGGGUCGCGAGAUCUACCAAACCUAACCAAACUCCGAAUACCUAUGAGUGAUACUCGGGAGACAGACGGCGGGUGCUAAGGUCCGUCGUCAAAAGGGAAACAGCCCUGACCAACAGCUAAGGUCCCCAAGUCACGUCUAAGUGGGAAAGCAUGUGGGAAUCCCAAAACAACCAGGAGGUUGGCUUAGAAGCAGCCAUCCUUUAAAGAAAGCGUAACAGCUCACUGGUCUAAACAAGGGUUCCUGCGGCGAAGAUGUAACGGGGCUCAAGACGUGCACCGAAGCUUUGGGUGUGAACAUUGUUCACGCGGUAGCGGAGCGUUCCGUAGGCCUGCGAAGCCAUCUGGUAAUGGGUGGUGGAGGUAUCGGAAGUGCGAAUGCAGACAUGAGUAGCGAUAAAGAGGGUGAGAUGCCCUCUCGCCGAAAGACCAAGGGUUCCUGCGCAAGGCUAAUCCGCGCAGGGUGAGCCGGCCCCUAAGACGAGCCCGAAGGGGGUAGUCGAUGGGAAUCAGGUUAAUAUUCCUGAGCCUGGUGGUGUGUGACGGAUGGUGUGUGUUGUUCGCCCUUAUCGGAUUGGGCGGGCUUCGAAACUGUCCCGGGAAAUAGCCCCACCGUAUAGACCGUACCCGAAACCGACACAGGUGGUCAGGUAGAGUAUACCAAGGCGCUUGAGAGAAGUGUCCUGAAGGAACUCGGCAAAUUGCCUCCGUACCUUCGGAAGAAGGAGGCCCAGCAUAAGCGCAAGCUCUUGCUGGGGGCACAGGCCAGGGGGUAGCGACUGUUUAGCAAAAACACAGGGCUCUGCUAAGUCGGCUUCAAGACGACGUAUAGGGCCUGACGCCUGCCCGGUGCCUGAAGGUUAAGUGGAGGGGUGCAAGCUCUGAAAUGAAGCCCAGGUAAACGGCGGCCGUAACUAUAACGGUCCUAAGGUAGCGAAAUUCCUUGUCGGGUAAGUUCCGACCUGCACGAAUGGCGUAACGACUUCCCCACUGUCUCCAGGACAUGCUCAGCGAAAUUGAAUUCUCCGUGAAGAUGCGGAGUACCCGCGGUUAGACGGAAAGACCCCGUGCACCUUUACUGCAGCUUCAGAGUGGCAGUGGACAAGAACUGUGUAGCAUAGGUGGGAGGCUUUGAAGCAUUGGCGCCAGCCGGUGUGGAGCCAUAGGUGAAAUACCACCCUGUUGUUGUUUACUGUCUAACCUCGAUCCAUGAAACUGGAUCAGGGACCCUCUGUGGCGGGUAGUUUGACUGGGGCGGUCGCCUCCUAAAGAGUAACGGAGGCGCGCGAAGGUUGGCUCAGG
rnacentral:rRNA from 2 species